GGCGGGUUCGUCUAGCGGUCUAGGAUAGCGGCUUGUCACGCCGCAGACACGGGUUCAAUUCCCGUACCUGUCGCCA
rnacentral:tRNA from 1 species